GACUGUUGACAGCAGGUACUCUUCAGCCUUCUGGAUGAGGGCUGAGUGAAGUCCAGUGACUAGGAACUGAGGUGUUAGAAAUUCAGCAGUAAGGGUUGACUGUAUGUGCUGAGGACCUGAAACUGGCAGUGUCUGCUCGGAGGUUGUGCAUUGGCCACCCUUUCCAACAUAAUUCUGGGCAAGAUGUUACCAAGCGCCA